GAUGAACGCUGGCGGCGUGCCUAAUACAUGCAAGUCGAGCGAACAGAUGAGGAGCUUGCUCCUCUGACGUUAGCGGCGGACGGGUGAGUAACACGUGGAUAACCUACCUAUAAGACUGGGAUAACUUCGGGAAACCGGAGCUAAUACCGGAUAAUAUAUUGAACCGCAUGGUUCAAUAGUGAAAGACGGUUUUGCUGUCACUUAUAGAUGGAUCCGCGCCGCAUUAGCUAGUUGGUAAGGUAACGGCUUACCAAGGCAACGAUGCGUAGCCGACCUGACAGGGUGAUCGGCCACACUGGAACUGAGACACGGUCCAGACUCCUACGGGAGGCAGCAGUAGGGAAUCUUCCGCAAUGGGCGAAAGCCUGACGGAGCAACGCCGCGUGAGUGAUGAAGGUCUUCGGAUCGUAAAACUCUGUUAUUAGGGAAGAACAAAUGUGUAAGUAACUAUGCACGUCUUGACGGUACCUAAUCAGAAAGCCACGGCUAACUACGUG
rnacentral:rRNA from 1 species